CCCGACCGGGUCCUCCCACCCGGGGUACACGCAUGCUCUUAAUUGCGCGUGCGGGUAACUGCGGGUUUGUUACCCUGAGAAAACUAGAGUGCUCAACGCAGGCCUUUGCUCGAAUAUCUUAGCAUGGAAUAACGGAAUAGGACGAUGUGGCUAUUUCGCUGGUUUUCAUGGCCACCGUAAUGAUUAAAAGGGACGGUUGGGGGCGUUAGUAUUCGGCAGUAAGAGGUGAAAUUCUUAGACCUGCUGAAGACUCUCUGCUGCGAAGGCGUUCGCCAAGGACGUUUUCAUUAAUCAGUGAACGAAAGUUGGGGGAUCAAAGACGAUCAGAUACCGUCGUAGUCCCAACCGUAAACGAUGGCGACUAGGGGUCGGGCGGGUUGGUUUAAAAUUUAUCCCGCUCGGAACCUUACGAGAAAUCAAAGUUUUUGGCUUCUGGGGGAAGUACGGUCGCAAGGCUGAAACUUAAAGAAAUUGACGGAAUGACACCACAAGGCGUGGAGCCUGCGGCUUAAUUUGACUCAACACGGGAAACCUUACCAGGGCAAGACACAAGCAGGAUGGACGGAUUAAAAUUUUCUUCCAGAUUUUGUGGUUGGUGGUGCAUGGCCGUUUCCAGUUCGUGGCUUGAGCUGUCUGCUUGAUUGCGUUAACGAACGAGACCUUCACCUAUUUAAUAGUGCCGUCAGCAUUCGGUUGGCCGUUGCACUACUUAGAGGGACAACCGGUCGGAAGCCGGGGGAGGAUGGAGGCGAAAACAGGU
rnacentral:rRNA from 1 species